CAAUAAGUUUGAUGGGAUAGUAUAUGUACCAGGGAAAGGGUGGGGAAGGAGUAUCGAUGUGGAUAUCAACUUGGAAGCUCAGGCCAUGGAGAAUUUGGAGAAAGAUAAGGAGUUCCUCAUGGAGCAGCAGAAGUCCGAGAUCUCCUAGUU